CAGGACGAACGCUGGCGGUGUGCUUCAUACAUGCAAGUCGAACGAUAAGGUCCCUUCGGGGAUACAUAAGUGGCGGACGGGUGAGUAACACGUAGAAAAUCUACCUCGAGGAAGGGGACAACAGUUGGAAACGACUGCUAAUACCCUAUAUGAGCUGGGCUGAAACGCCUAUCUUGAAAGUUCCGGCGCCUUGAGAUGAGUCUGCGUCUGAUUAGCUAGUUGGUGGGGUAAAUGCCUACCAAGGCGACGAUCAGUAGCUGGUUUGAGAGGAUGACCAGCCACAAUGGGACUGAGGCACGGCCCAUACUCCUACGGGAGGCAGCAGUAGGGAAUUUUGCGCAAUGGGGGAAACCCUGACGCAGCAACACCGCGUGAACGACGAAGCCCUUCGGGGUGUAAAGUUCUGUCAGUAGGGACGAAUUUUGACGGUACCUACAAAGGAAGCAUCGGCUAACUACGUGCCAGCCGCAGC
rnacentral:rRNA from 1 species